CUUUCCUGUGGACAGAACUAGAAAAUGCAUAUGCAUAUUCAUAUGCAUUCAUGUAAUUACAUAUAUACAUAAACACUGCCAAUGCAAAUUCAGAUCUACAGGGUUUUUAUUGAAUGUGUAUCUUUCAUCUGAAUCUCCUUUCUCUAAUACCAAGCACUGUUGUUUUUGAGGACGGGGGAGUAAUAGAAUUAGAAUAUCCCAAAAUGUCUCAUUUACUCUGUCGCACAUUAUAUAAACAAAAGAAUAAAGACAAUAACAACAAUACCACUAACAACCCAAUUGAGGAAAAUGGUUUUUUAAUUUGUCGCUGCCUUGGUAUAUGAAUAAAUUAUUGUGUCUUAAAGUCUCUAGGAAUAGUUCUAAUCCAUAUGGUUGUUCCACAACAGGGAUACAACAGGUUCAUUCAUUACAUUGUGUUUUCAAUGUCUAGAGGCAAAAUUUUUUAAAUUUAAUUUAGUUUUAUAAUUAUGUAAAAACAAAUGUGGUUUGCAACUCAAAUAUAACCAAAAAAGUUACAUUCAAAUAGUCUAGCCUUGACACAAAGAUCUGCAAGCAUUUCCAAAGCCUGGGCCCAGGUGAAUCAGGAACUCCUGCUCUCCACAGACGCUGGAUUCUCUGGCUAGGAUUGCUCUUUCUGCCUGAGUUUGGGAGGAAAGGAUGAAAUUUCCCUGGAGUCAAUUUCAAAGCUUAGCCUAUCAGGGGUUUUAGUGUCUCAUGGAGAAUUAGCUAGAAAUUAGGAAUAAAAUCUGAGUAAGUUAGAAUAGAAUAAAUGAAAAUCUGAAUAAAAUAGGCCAUUUAACAAAAUACAGUACUUCUAAUUCAGGUCUGGAACUUGUAUCCCAAAACGAAGACACAGUCACAAUGGCUGUCCCAGCCCCAUCGCAGGCCCUCACACGUCCCUUUUACUCACAGAGAGACAGGAGGUCCGAUGACAAGACUUGCCCUGCGAAGGCCCCUCGAGGUGCAGGAUUGAAUGGACACAGCCACUGCCUCUACUCCCGAGGCCCGAGGGUGACCCUGAUGAGGGACUGGCACUACCCCUCUGGCGCCGGGCCCAGGCCUCGGAUGGCCAGCGACCCGCAGAGCUGCACGAGGCCAUCGGGGGCGCCCCAGGCUCUGUCACCUCCCUGUGUCCCGGACUCCUGAGGAGAAGGUGGCAGAGGGCAGGGGACGCGGCUGCGAGAUGCAAAGGGUGGAGGGAGCAAGAGUCACGCGGAGACCCGGGGCAGCGCGGGCCCGUGGAGCUUCCUUCCCAGGUCGGAACUUUUCUCUCCGACAGCGGGACGGGAGGGGACGCGGAGCGGGACACCACGUCCCGUCAACUCCGUCUGUGAGGCGCCACUUUGCGUUCCAGAGGAGAACCUCCCUUUGGGCUGUGGGGGACCUUGAACACCGCGGGAGACCUUGUCCUUUGUAAGCCCUUUGAGUGGAAGGGCCAGGGCGCCUCCUGGUGGCCCCCGCAGGGACGGCGUAGGGGAAUCCCCUCACCUAUGACGCGACGAGGGCUGGUCCGAAGAAAAUCGAUAUAAGCGCCCCAUUUCGGUGCAGGAGAAGGUCCUCUUGGACAGAGGCGCUCACCUGGAGGUUUCCCCGCCUGUCCUCCUGGCGCUGUCGGGAGCCUCAGCGCCGCGCCCUCUUGGCCUCCACCCUGGGGGCGCUGCGCGCUCCGGGCACCAGGGGCCCGGGCGGAGUCUCGGCGCCUCUGACCGCAGAACCCUCCUCGUGCGGUGCUCCAAGCGCCGCCUCGCCGAAGGGAGAGCUCCCAGCCCAGAGAGUACAAUCACCAGGAGUUGCAGACUUCUCUCCCGGACGCAGAGUCCUCUCGAUUAUCAAUCGGGUUCCAACCGAAGCGGCCACGGCGCCUACACACCGCACCGUGAGCACAGCCGGCCAGCCACGACCUGCGGUGGUGUGGUCCGGCGUCAGCAGAUGCCGCUGGUGUCUCUGCACCACCUGGAGCGCCAUGGCCACCUUGACCUACCUGAUUCGACAUCUGGAUUCCAGGGGAACUGCCAGGGUCAGAGGCUGAAGGCACAAGCAUGGAAAUCACCAACUGGUCAGACUCCAGAAGUACAGCUGAUAACAUUAAAGAGACAUUUCUCUAGUGCCUGAAAUGCCCUUCCUAGUGUCCUUCACAUUACAAGGGCUUGGGAAACGUCACAUGAAGCCAGAGAAAGCUCUGGUAUUUAAGGAGUCAUAUGAUCAGAUGUGGCCGACCCACAUGAUCGCCCCAUUGUAAAGUCAGCUGUGCCUUAGAACAACACAAUCAGAGGACAGUGACUCAUCACGUCAACAAGUUCCAGGGAUUUGGGUAUUUCCUGAGUGUUUUAUCUGGCAGGCACUUGUGGAGGCUCUGGGGAGACGGGGUGGACAAGGCAAAAAGAGCGCCUGUUCUCAUGAAGAAGACCUUCUGGCACAGGAGCCAGACGUUUCACAGGAGCCUGAGCUGACCCCACACACAGAAAACACAGAACUUGAGGGAGCAGAUGGAAGAAAGAAAAUCAGCAGGUUGGAGGGUGAAAAGAACCCAAAGAAGGGCCAUGUAUUUGUGGAGCAGGUGGUUGCUAAAGGGGGUGAGAAUAAGGACAAGCUGAGUUCAGAAAAGUUAAGGGAAACCGAGGAAUGUGUACAGCAUCAUCCAGGUCCUCAAGGAGCAGGCUGAGCUGAGCAGUGAGGACUGGGAGAGUAACUUACUCCACAGCGAACCUAUGCACCUGACAAGGAGAUCCAAGGAUGCAUCAGGGUUGGUUUCUACUGAUGAGAAGCAGCAAUUCCAAGAGGUGGAGGAUGCAAACAUGAGGCUCAACCUUGAAGCUGCCCUCAGAGUGGAUGCCCUGCCACUGUAGCCCAACUGGCCCACCCAACCUAGAACUCAGCCAGAUUUCAGCCUCUCAGGAUACAACCAACACCUGGGCUCCAUGUUGGCUCAAAGCAGUCAACACUACCAAGGUCUCCAGAGGAAACUACUGAUAUCAGUAGCUACUGUCUAUGUCUUCGCCAGCUGGAGAAAUACAGAGAGUGUGGAGUGUGCAAAGACAUCAUUGAAUCUGUGUUGAAGGAGAAGCUGCAUUCUAAUGAGGGGAACCUGGCAGAGAAGUCAACCUUAGCUUGGAAGCUCAGGCAAUAAAGUAUCCUAAUUAAAGAUCAGGAGCAACAGCUGACCCUGUUAUGGCAGAAAUUACAGGAAGGGAGAGACAUCUCUGUCUUAAGUCAACACCUCAAGGGCCUCCUCACCCACAAUGACCUUGACAACUACCAGCGGCAGGGCUUCUGAGAGCAACUGGCUAAGGGACACAGGCUGGCAGAGAGCAUUGUCUGCAAGCUCAGCCCAGAAAAUCAUGAAGAUGAGGAGGAUGAACAAGCACAAGAAACACUCACUCCCAGCAUGGAGCUGCAGGAGGUUGAAAAGAAGGAAGUCGUGCAGGACUCACAGGGUGAAUGUGUUUUGCCCUCUUCAGUUUGCCAAGAAGAUUCUGACUGUGACCAGCCUUACAGUGAUGGCAAAUUCACAUUUGCUGAACAGGAAGUUGGCUCUGCUCUGGAUAUAAACUGUGAAUGUUCCCAUCCUAAAGGGGAUGAAAUUUCAAAUAUUCUCCCAGUUUAUUUGCAGAAAACCAAAAUGAUCAUGAGCAGGCGAAAGGACAAGAGCCAGUUGCCUCCAGGCUCUGCAGGGAGCUGCCACAGAAGGUCGAGCAUGACAUACCAUGGGACCCGCUGGAUGAAUACUAUUUGACUUCUUCAGAUCUUCCUGGCCUGUCCAACUCCUACUGUCCUUAUAGGAAUGCUGCUACCAUCUCAUUUGAGGAACUGGAAGUCUAUUCUGCUCUAGAUAUAACUUAAAAACAUACUGAUCUUGAGGAGGAAGAAGACCAAGUCCACAUAUAUGUUCCAGAGCUGUGUUUGUGCUUACUUUGGAAUGAACAACCCUCCCAAGCUAGAGGGUGAUGCUCUUGAAGGCUCAGCUUCCAGCAAGCAUGGAUGUCAAGUCAUUGGCCACAUUAAUGCCUUAAGUGCCCUGAAAUAGAGGAUUAUCAAAAGAAAACUGCAGCUCAGCAAGUGGAGACUAGCAUGCAGAUUCCCUGGCCUUCAAGCUUAGGGUCCAGAGAUACCAAGUACUUCUGGAAUUAAGAAAAAAUAUUACUGAUUUGAAAGAAACUGCCUCAUAAAAAAUAGCUUCUCCACUUGAUGAAAAAAAUCUAAAACAGCAAAUCAAGUGAAAGCCCAAAUGGACCACUGGAGGGAUCCUUUACAGAGAGUCAACAUCACAACCACAAACAAUUCUCCACAAUUUUUACUCCAAAAAACAGGUGUGAUGGGAGAAAUCCCAGCCCUUCAGCCUCCAAUUGUGCUAUAUCGCUAAGGGGACAAAAGCCUAGAUCCACACAGUUUUGAGAGUCCAUCACCAAAAUCAGGAGCAACUGGAAAAAGACAACAUGAGAAACUGAACGUUCUUUGCCACCAGCAGGGCUGUGCUAGGAGCAGACAGCCGUAACUGUGCAGUGGUCUUGUUGAGAAUGUUUAGUCUGAAUUUAAUCGUGAGGUCAUUAUCAGACAACGGCAGAAUUUAGACCGCUGAACAAGUCAACUGGCCUGUCUUUCUUCAAACAGUCAAUGUUACCACAAGUAAGACGACAAAAAGGAGAAGAGAUAUGUUGGGAUCCAAAGGACUGAAAAGAUUAUGUUACUAUACUUCUUUAGUCCUUUUGAGCCGAAGACGUUCCUCACCUUUUUGUGAUUGCCUGCGGUGGUGGUGACGUUGCCUUGUUUGUAGAGGACAGGUCAGUCGUCUGGCUCAAUGGUCUACAUUCUCAAGUUGUCUGACCAUUUCCUCAUGAUUAAAUUCAGGCUCACACUUUUGCCGAGAACACUUCACAGUUAAUGCUGUGUGCUUCCUAGCGCAGCCCACCCAGAGACCAGAAUGACCAGUUUAUCCACCACCAUUACUGUGAGAACAUUGGUCACUUUGUUAUGGAGGGGCCUAGGAGAUCUGUCCAUUGUAAAGACACAUUUUUUUCUUUCUAUAAUCAGUAAUUUGGGGAAAGGUACUUUGAGAGUGUGUGAAUAUCCUCUUCUCUAAAGAUCUUUUUCUAAAACUUUUACCAUCCAUUCAUGAUCCCUGCUGUGUGUCGAUUGUCAUAUUGGUGUUCGCACAUUGGAGAUCUUCCAAUUUUAU
ensembl:lncRNA